rnacentral:rRNA from 1 species
AACAAGAGUGAAACUGUCUCAAAAAAAAAAAAAAAAAAAAAAAAAAAAGAUAUUGGAAGCUAAGGAGGGUCGGGCCUGGUUAGUACUUGGAUGGGAGACCACCUGGGAAUAUCGGAUGCUGUAGGCU